CCUACGGGGGGCAGCAGUGGGGAAUAUUGGGCAAUGGGCGCAAGCCUGACCCAGCAACGCCGCGUGAAGGAAGAAGGCUUUCGGGUUGUAAACUUCUUUUCUCAGGGACGAAGCAAGUGACGGUACCUGAGGAAUAAGCCACGGCUAACUACGUGCCAGCAGCCGCGGUAAGACGUAGGUGGCAAGCGUUAUCCGGAUUUACUGGGUGUAAAGGGCGUGUAGGCAGGACUGCAAGUCAGAUGUGAAAACCAGGGGCUCAACCUGAGGCUUGCAGUUGAAACUGUAGUCCUUGAGUACGGGAGAGGUAGACGGAAUUCCUAGUGUAGCGGUGAAAUGCGUAGAUAUUAGGAGGAACACCAGUGGCGAAGGCAGUCUGCUGGACAGCAACUGACGCUGAGGCGCGAAAGCGUGGGGAGCAAACAGGAUUAGAUACCCGGGUAGUC
rnacentral:rRNA from 1 species